rnacentral:sRNA from 1 species
AUAAGUUGCUUUUCCCACUUUUCAAAAGUAAGUUGCCUGCCGAUGCAGAAAUGAAAAAUACCCCCCAGCACAUUGUUAAAUGUGAUUUAUUUAGCCGGCGAGCAACUCGCCGAAAAGUUCCUGACUUUAUUUUGCACUCAUUCAUGGUUGCUUUUCGCCGUUUCGAGGAUGAGGACACAAGUCAGCCUUGAAAUUGUUUGAUAACAUUUCGUUUCUGUUUUGACACCUGAGUUAUGACAAGUCGCGAGUGGCUGCUAAUCAUUUCGCUUGUGCUCAUCUCUUCAGUUGGCUGUCAGUUUGUCAAGCCACACAAUGUUGUUAAAAACUGUCUUGGGUUCGCAAGUUGUAGAGCUUAACAACUUGUUUAUCCGAGCAGUGAGAAAUCUGGCUGUAGAGCUUAGUUAAUGUCACGGUACGAGUUUCGGUUAAUGUGAUUUCAAAAAACGUUAUCCUUGAUGUCCUUGUACAUUUAUUAUUGUCCAUAAAUAUACAUUAUACGCAGAAUUAAAGAGUAUACUAUAUUUAUUACUAUAUAGACUAGAUCAGUUCAUAAAAAAGUUAUGAUGAAGUACCGCCGCUAGGUGGAGCUAACUUCGAGAUUAAGAGAUACUUUGCUAGUAGUGUCACUCGACUACAGCGUUCUCGCUCAUGUUUUUUAGAAUCAAAACAAAAAAAACUUUAAAGUUUUCGUUUUAAUUUUAAAUUUUCUGAUACCUAGCAUAUUAAAAGAAGUCAAGUUAGCCAGCUCUAAUUGAAAGGCAAAGUUUCACAAAUUUCGGAACAAUGUUUUUCCUGCCCAAUUAGAAUAUGUCGACUGAAAUUGAAACGAAAACUAAGUAGUCUAUAGCUAGAGUUUUUCGCCGCCAAUGGCGAUGGAAACUUUGAUCCGUCAGCUGUGCCGACAAAGAAGCGACAGAAAAACUUUCAUACCGUUGAAUGCGGCAAAACGGGCAACGUGCAGCAACGUUUUUCAUGGUUUAUGCAAAAAAGGCGAAACCCGGCGACUUCAUUUUAAAAGCAAGCCACGCAUGAAGCGCCGUAUAAAGCGAAGAAAAUAAGAGGAAUAUUCUCCUCCACCCGGUUCAAUGGUCAAUUUUUUAUGCAACUCGUCGGCAACAAUGGUGCAAGCAAAGAAGGUGUGCCUGCCCCCAGAAUCGCACACACACUCGACACUCGAACGUACUCGUACGUAAUAUUGCUGCAACAAUGACACUGACAAUGAAAAGUUGCAACUGCGAAACUGAAAAAAAAAGCGGAUGCAUCGCCGUUGUUAUUGUGCAGGCAGCACCACCAACUAUGACGACAUCAGGUUCCAGACCGGCGGUUACUUUACACACAUACAUACACUGAACGAAAAUGUUCUGUUUCUGCUGUUUUCAUUAAAUAUGUAGAUAUGUUUCAGUAGUAAUUUUAGUGGGAUUUCAAAAGUGAUUAUAACCAUUAUUAACAAGCAAUCAAUCGUUUUUAAUGCAUAGUAUUAAAAUAACUUAAAUUUAUAGUUUUCAAAAGCAAUUAUUUUGUGUUCGUGUAUAGAAUUGAUAAAGGGUAGCAUAUAAAUCGAUUUAUUUUCUGAAAGUGCAAGCAAAAAUGUUCCCAUAACCAUGGAUAUAACAAAAGGCAUCUGCCACGCCCAUGUAAAGUUGUAGCAACAAUGGAAGAAGAAGAAUCUAAUGCAUAGCUAAACAAGUGAAAUGGGAGCAAUGGUGGGUAUUUUGGUUGAGUUCCAGAGAGCAGCUUUGUUGGCCAACUUUUUUUUUGUAUCUCCUUUUUUUUUUGACAAUCUACAAGCCAUUGUUGGUGCUGGCAAAAAAUUGUAUGCAAUUUGACAUUCCCAGAAAAACACACACACGUGUAUGGGGAAUCAACAACAACACUUGAGAAAACUAUUCUCAUGGGUGCAUUUAGCCAAGUAGCAAGUUUAUAUAAAUAUACAUACGCGUUUUGGGGUGCGGUGUAAUCAGUUUAAUGAGCUCACACACCAGCCACGCCCACCUGUCAGCUUAUUUAGUGCUAUUUAGUUUGAUUGCGACUGCUGCACAUUUUGAUGGAUGUAAAGUGCAAAUUCCGAAUAAAACAACCAAAUUGACAUUUCAUUUUAUUAACUUAGAUCGCAUUACAAGGCAAUUAAUUGGUUUGCAUUUGCAAUUACGAUAAUUAAAAGUGUCUCAAUCAGUUUGAAAUUUGUUUCGAUUGCUUCUAACCACGUCCGUUAACCAAGUAAAUAAUAUAUAUAAUAUCCUAUUCUAAAGUUCACUUUAUUUAGUUAUUAUUUUGCAGCCACUUAACUGCGUACAUAUGUAUCUCAAACGUUUGAAUGACUCAGGGCUCUAUUACUACUUUUAAAUGGCACACUUAAGUGCUCAAAGUUGACAUGACAAGCGUGGAAAGUAAAACAGCGGUGUCAAAGGUUUUUUUUUCACAUAACUGCCAUUGGUCACUUAGUCGCGGGGAGCAUAACAUAAACUUUAAUUUGUGAAAAGUGCAAAAUGUUCGCCUUUGCCACUCGCCACUCGCCGUUCGCUUACUCAUUUUCUAUUUAUGAGUUUUUGCUACCCCCCAGUUCAUAGUUAACCGCAUUUGUUGCCUGGUUUUUCCCCUUAAGUUUUUCCUCCCCAGCUUGUCCAACUUUAUUAGCCCCGGUGGGGUGGAGGAGCAAGUGUGUCGCGAGGUGUUUAUGCUUCUGAAGUUAUCAGGAGUUUCUUAACCCACUGGCGACACAUACACACAGCACUUUUAAUGCCAUUUUAGCAGCAUAUUAACUUUUGUAGUGGAAAUGAGCAGUCGUCGACGGACCCUAGAUUACAUUGUUGGUGUGUACACACUCAUUCAUCCAUUUUAAGGGGGUGGAGGCGACAAGGGGUGCGUUAAGUGCGUGUUAAAACCGACCAAGCGGCGCACGCACAUUGCUUAUCCGCCCCCUACGCGGCACCCCGAUCUCUUCCUCCUGCCAACCCAUUUAUAGCCCCUAGCUGGCACACUGUCUCGCUGCUCCACUCCCGCCAACUUGCAGGCAGCCAAGUAACGAAGCGUGAGCCCGGCGACCCCAGAAGCAGCCAAGGGGUUAACAUACACCGCAACACAAGUACUCAAUUACACUGACAGAAAUUAACCAGCAUCAGAUUUGUUACUCAAAUUGCUAUGUGAAACUAAGUAAGUUAAGAACAAUGGGCAGAUAUCUUAAAUUAAGUUUCCGUUUGAAAUGUUAAAUAAAUUUUAAAUUUCAAUAUACCAACUUAGAUAAGAACUGGUAUGAAGAUAACAACUUCCGUUACUAAAACCUAAAAUUUUUGCCAUAAUAUGCUUUCUAACCACAGAGAAGAAGUAAUCUUGCAAAGAAAUAAAUUUUGGCUUAUCUCAAACUUCAUUUAAUCUUCAAUUUUCUUUCAGUGCAACCAAGUGCAAUGUGUUCUUGAAUACUGCCUUAGCUGCUGUUGCCUGGAAAUCACAAUUUAUACACAAUGUUGUAAUAUAAUUUUUGCACAGCAAAACAGAAAGCAGCUCGAGUGGCACAUUGUUUGCUGGCGUCACUGUUGCUCCUUAUAUAGUACUCCACGACAGGAUCUCCCUCACUCCCUGCAACCCCUCUUUCCAUUCCCCCCACCGCAUUUUCCGGUUAUCCUUCGGGCUCUCGAGUGCAUUGACCAUGGCUGUGGGGACUUUAUGUGCAGUCGCUGCAAGUGCCAUAAAUGCAAUGCGGCUCACAUUUAUUUACGACUAUUUGAUUGCACUUGCUAUAACACUAUGCAAAUUUAUAGAAAAAUGCCUCUCUAGCACAACAGCUGCCCCGCACUCGACUCACUCCUUCGUUUCGGCCAGGAUGCCCAUUAACUUUUGCUGAACUGCGAACUUAUUGGCGCAUAAAUGUCAAUGACACGCAGAUGUUUUAAACUCGAUCCAUUUCGAAUUGUUUAAAACAGGGCUUUGGCAAAAAAAAAUGAGUAAUAGUUGCGGCUGUUGAAACUUUAAAUAAAUUGUAAUUUUUAGCUACAUAGCUUUGCGCUUAAUGAGUCGCUGUUGUUCUUUUAUUUCUUUGAUAAAUGAGCAACCAUUACAAAAUGUGAAAGUUGGAAGGCAAAAAGUUCUAUUCAUUAGUUUUGCUAUCAUUCUUGUGCCGUUCUCAGAGGAAACGAUAGCAACUUAUCUUUUUAAAUUUUGAAGAAAUUUCGGGCAACAAAAUUCCAAUGUAAACUGGCACCAUCGGCUGAGUAAUUGAAUACAAUUUUAUCCAGUCCUGUGCUGGAUCGCGCUUGGGUAUCGUGUUGCUAUGAAUAUGUAUCAGUCAACGAUGCAUGAAAUAAGCAGCCAAAAAUACAUAAAUACAGGACUUACGCCGCGUUUCGAUAACGAUGAUGCCGCGGGGGCAAUGUUGACGUUGGCAUAACAUACAAUAAUUUCCGGUAUUUGAUAGCAGCGGCAACGAAAGCCGAUGGAAGGAGCCGCUUUGCACAGCAGCAUGGAGUGGAGUUUGCAAUUGUAAACAAACAAAUUUCAUGCUACGUUGCACAAGUAACUUCACCCGCCUCCCCACCCGCCUCGCCACAUAGUUCUUGUGAUAAGGGAGAGCGACGGAUAACAUUCACAAAAAAAAAAAAAGAAGAAAGAAAGUGUGCCCAAAUUGACAUGCGACAGUCAUAGCCGGAAGUUCUAUUUUCCCUCUUUUAUUCCGGUUUUUGUGUAUUUCUUUUCAUACCCUCGGUGUGUGGGGUAUUUUGGGAUGUUUAUAUACUCACUUAGUUUAUUAUAUUAUGUAUAUUAUAUUAUGUAAUUUAUAUAUCUAACUAUGUAUACACCAUAACUUAGACCCUGGGAUCGGUUGCACAUAUAUACAGGGUAUCUGAUAGUCUCAUAACCCAACUAGUCUAGACUCUAGCGCUUUCUACGCCGUUUUUUUUUUUUUUAACAAAUCGGAUUGAAAUCAGACUGCAGCACAGAAGGCAACCGACGGCCAUGUUAAUUGGCAACGCUGCCGGCUGAAGUGGCCAUGAAAGGGGCAGAUGGAUAUUGAAAUCAAAUGCGUUUGAGCACAAUGGCCUCGCCCUGUGAUUGCGAUUGUGUGCGCCAGUGGACGGAGUGGUGGAGCUGCUCCAGCGGAGUGGGUGGAUGACCCCGUCCAAUCUGCUGCCCACGCGGCUGCGGUUGGAUGAAUCCAUUUUGCAUGCGUGGCGACAUGUGUCAACUUCUAUUAAGUUACCGUUGGUCAUUCAACCCGCGGUCACCGACAGAGUCGCCUGCAAUUUUUCAGUCUCUGCGGUCAGCAGUUGUUUGUUAGAACGGGUGUUUGCUGCAUCACAAUGUUCACAGACUAUCUUUUAUUUUGUAGUUGCAAUGUCAAGUUGCAGGUAUUUUAGUGCUCUGACUCAUUCUCAUUUCAUAUUAAUACAAGGUGUUUAAUGCAUGACUUUAACUAAUCAUAUGAAUUAAAAGCACGUACCUUACAUAUUCAAACAGUAUUGUAAGUAUGCAGCAUAACUACGUUACAUGCCACCAUGCCAUAUAGUAUGUAGUGAUUGAUAAAUAUUUUAUUACUGCUAGUACUAUGUAGUUAUUGGGUUAGAAUUUUCCGAUGAAGAAGCCUUCCUGCAGCAAAUUUGCCUCAUGCCAAAUUCCGAUUAAUAAGCCACUCCCCCCUCUUUUCUACAACAUACGAUCCGCUUAUAAUUUAACCAUAAUGGUGCCCCUACUCCUCAAUCGGCAAUGGAAUGUGCAACGAACAUUUCCAAUCAAAUACGAUUUCGAGCAUGCAAAUCAACUAGCCAGCAAUCGCAGUCGGUUUCCUGUCUAUUACACUGAAAGGGCGGCAACUGAACUGGACGAGCUAAUUACAAAGCAGCUCACCAGAAAUGGGUCAUCUGCAUCGUUAGUUGCUGCUGAAUCUCAAUUCAAAUCUGACCGCAUAAUUACAAUGCAAAAGUCAACAAAAAUCAAGUGCACACAGAUACAGAUACAAACGCAGAUACGGAUACAGAUUCAGACACACUCACACACAAAUUGCAAUUAGAAGUGACAAAUUACGAAACAGGCAACAAGAGCCGAAUGUAAAAACUGUCAGAUAAACAUUCAUAUGUUUUAUUUUGCAACUGUACAGAAUGCAUAUUAAAUUGUAAUUAUUUUCAUACUUCAGAGUCGUUAUGUAUGAGUGCUCACAUUUUGUUUAAUACUUUCUUUUUUUAGCUGACAUCAGAAUAAUUUGUACUCUGCAAACUUUUGUACUACUAUCUUUUAUGUUUUUUUUUUUGUCAGUUGUCUGAAAAUUGUUGUUUGCCAACCGCACAACAAUUGCAUUUGAUAGAGGAGCGAACACACACCGCUCCCCGCACCGCUGGUAUGGAAAUUGCGGUUAAUUGAAUUCACUGAACUGGGUUCACAGUCAGCUGCUACUGCCGUUGACCGCUGCCCCAUGUGCGUGGCACAUUGUCCCCCCUCCAGCUCCUCCUCCUCCACUCACCAUCCACCACCCACCAUAUCGCCAUAUGUGAAAAUUAAUUGAAGUUGUGCAGUUUUAUGGGGUUUCGCAGCGCUGACCAACGCAGAAUGGCGGACAACAACCGGCGACAACGACAACUACCAAAAAUCUCGCAUGACUAACUUUUUAUGCCCCACCUCAUACCGCCGGCCAAAAAAGUAUGUUUGAUGGGGGUGGGUGUUUUACUUUUUAUAAGCACGCCGAACCGUUUUUAUGAGCACCACACCACGAACACCAGCACCACCUCAGAAAUGACAAUGUCCAGUGUACACAGUGUUUAUUAUUUUUACGCUUUACUUUUAAUUGACAUUUGUCCCAGCAUAAUGAAUCGCUGAUAUGCAACAUGCCAACUUUUCAUAUUUCAUGUUUGUUCAAACUUAUGCCUUGUGUUUUUGUCCUUAAACACGAACGGAGUUUUGUAUUCAAUGUCAGUUGAAUCGAGUAAAGCUGUGCUCUUGCAAAUUAUAUUUAAGACUUUUUGGUUUAUUAAAAAACUUAAACUUGUUUAAUUACCUAAAUGUAUUUGGCUAAGCUCUGUUAAACUAAUCUUUGUUGCACAGCCCUCUUUAAUAUCACACUUAGUAUGCACUGCAUGCUGCUAUGUUCAGUUCCGUGCUGCUGCCCUCGACUCAUCCGCGUAGUCAUCCUCCGGCACUCCGGAUUUAUCCAUAAUGUCGCUUCUGUGGAGGAGGGCCUCUGCCCCCUUUUGGCAUCCGAGUCGUCAGUCUGACUCAUUCUCCUCGCGAUGGCUUCUUGUGAUACACUUCGUUUGGUUUUGUUGCUCGUACCCCUUUUGUUUGAUGUUAUGCAGAGUUGUUGUUCGUGUUGCUGUUGGUGUUCAGUCUAUGUGGCGUGAAAAUUUAAAUUAGAUUUUAAAAUUUAAUAAAUGUUUUGGGCAAAUGAAAAGGUGCGAUAAGCAACUCACGUCGCAACACCUUUAUACCUGCCACCUGACAGCUCACCUUCAGUUUUCCGCCGGAUUGCUGCGAGUGCAGUUCAGAUCAGAGAGCGUGAAAACAUUUCGCAACAUUUAAGUCGCUUUUAAUGGCUUUUUUGUCUAGCUGGGUGGUACUGGGUACCUACCUGUACCAUCAUCAUCGCCAUCAUCAUCAUCAUUGCCAUCAGCAUUCUAUGACAGACAAACACACCAGAUGAAAGUUCCCAGCCAUGACAUUGUGUGUUGCUCUGUCACUUCAACGGGGGGUUGGGGAUAUCGCUUUUAUUUUUCAGCAGCUAUUUUCGGGAUGGGGUUGCUGCAACUAGAUUGCACAUUUGUGUUGCAUGCCACUUUGAUUGCCUUGCCGAAACGCAACAUGUCUGCGAAUUGGGUUGUUAUUGCCGAUAUAUCACAAUGAAGCAAUCUGUCAUCAUAAUCGUCCGAUAUGGAAGGGGAAUGAUGCGGGGUAUAAAAUCUUGCUCUUCAUCUAAUGUGGUCAUCAAAAACGCUGACAUUUUGACGUAGAGUGCAUACUAUAAAGUAUACAAUAUACGAUAGUACUCUGUUUUCACACAUUUUUAGCGAUUAAAUAAAUAAAUGGGUGAAUAAAUGUUUAUUUUAGCUCUUCAUAGCACUUUAUAUUAGACGGCAAAUAUUUUUCUAAAAUAUAGUGGGAUAGAAUAGAACCGAGUCUAAGCCGCAUUUAUUUUCGCAUUGUGCAGUCAUAUUCAAUGGGAGACGCAAACAGACUGAAAAGAAAAACAAAUAAAUAUAAAUUGACGGAAAUUAGAUUUAUGACCAUCAUAAUUUCUAUGCCAGGCUUAGUGGGCAUAUCAAUUUAAUCUAGAAAUAAAAAAUAAACAAAGGAUUUUUGGCAAAUAUCUAAAUAUUUGGCUCUUAAAUACAAAUACCAUAUUUAGAGGUUGCUGAAACUGAAUGACUUAAGCAUAAACUCCAUAAAUUGGUUGUUCUUGUACAUAUUUUGUAUCAAAAGAAUCUUAAGCAGUCUCUAAAAACUGAGAUCCUCUUUAAAUGCAUUUAAUUUAAUAAAUGUCAUAUAUACCCUGUAUAUUCAGCGCUCAAUAAAUGCGAAGUACCAAUAGCAAAACCGCAUCAUACGAACAUAUCAGGACGAAAUGAAACGGUGCAACGAUUUUAUUGACGCGACAGAAUGGGAUAAUCGGGAAUGGAUGCGGAGGUGGAGGAGAUGUGCAUGUUGAACAAUUCAAUUUACCACAAACUCGUUAUUUUGGGGAAUCCGGCCAGGAUUCCCCCCGAAUUGAUCCCCUUAACCCGUAACCCCAUAGCCCCAUAGCCCGCACCCUGUUCGUAUCCACAUCGCUAGCACCUGGACCGCGGACAGGGCUCAAACCAAUAAUUGUAGCCGACAGGUGUGGACCCCGAGUACGGAGUACUGGAUGGCUGGCUGGUUGGCUGUCUGGGUGGGUUGGGGUGCAAAAUGUAUUUAAAAUCUGUUGGCGUCAUCAACGAAAUGGGGACAUUUUCUGGUUUUUCGGGGUAGAUGGCCAGCACUCUACGAAUCUGGCAAAUAUUUAUGCAAAUGUUUGGCUGCAGUACUGUUGCCACUCUUAUCCAAACUGUCCAGGUGACAGCAGCACAGCGGGGAUGCGUUUGGAGUCGAGUCCGCAGGCAAAAUGGGUCCAAGGUUUUGGGUGUGAGACGUUCGUGAUUCUGUCCGAGAAAUAUUAAAUUAAUCGUUGCGGUUGACGUUGCACAAGAUGCCAUUCCUGCCGAAAGGAUUCUACUUUAAAAUAUCGUAGAUUCUCUUUAAACAAAGUUACUCUGAUUGCAGAAAUAUUCCAGCAAAUCAAUCUACCAUGAAAUAUUCCGUUUUAUAGAAAUUAAAAGUGUUAAAAAAGAAAAAUAUAGUUUUAUCUUAAGGCACAAAUAUUUGAUUUUAGAUUUCAAAUAAAUUACGUGUAAAAUGCGUAUGGAAACACAAGCUGGGUAAACACAAUGGCACGAAAAAUGCCACCCGAAACUUUUACAAUCAAGAGUUAAGCAGAAGUUUAUAAUAUCGUGCGGCCACAUGGCGUAUGCGUAAUGUGUCCAAAUGGGGUUUACCAAGCAUUACAUGACUCCAGAAAGUGGGCAAGCAUGUGGAAUUAGGAUAAAUAUAUAUAUGGGCCAACAUACGACUAUGUGCAACAUGACAAGCAUCAGCUAGAGGAAGAAUCUGGUUGCUUUGGCCAAUGUCUUGGAGCAUUAUUCGUGCGGAAUCUGUAGAGGACUGCCUGCAGUUGAUGUCCUAGCAACAGCUGCAGUACCAGACGAAAUUUAAACAAUUUUAAAAUUCACACACACACGUGGUGUUUACCAAGGACAUUGCUCUCUGCCCAACUUCAAAAUAUGCAUAAAUCUUGUGCUGCAAAUUUAUAUUUACAUGUUGCUCGUGCUAUUUAACAACAUUUGGUCAUCACAACCAGGCCUGGCCAGGCACAUUAUAGGGCUUCCUCUUCCUCUGCAUUCCUCUGCACUUCAGUUGCUGCGGCUUCCUCCGAAAGUUUUGCGUUUUAACACUUUGCAACUGUCCACUGCGUUUUGGGUGGAUGUUGCCGGAGUUUCGGCUACAGCUUGCUACAAGUUGUUUGUUUUAUUACAAGUGCCAAAUAAUUUAACUGCUAAAUUAUUAAAUUUCCCUGUGAAUGGUCGCCUGUCUGAGUUGGUGUGUUCAUGUGGGGGAAUUUGUGUAUAUUUAUACGUAAAUAUAUAUAUUUGUAAGUUGGCUGCUCUCGUUCGUUGUGCUCGUAAAUUUGUUGGUGACCAAGCGCCUUGGGAGCCCAGUGUCAGUUCAAUGGGCCAUUUGGGGAAUCUGUUUGUUCGUACAGACAUCCAUAAAUACGCACAUGUUUGUGUUUAAUUAAAAUGGGCAUUAGGUUGUUGGGCUAGUGCCUGCUCACACAAAUAUAUGUAAAAAUACAUCAUUUGAUUCGGAGAUGGAUAAGCAAAUACUGUGCAGAACUCCAACUUGUCGUAAACUCAAGGAGCGCAGCAAGGACAUCGUUGGAAACCGCAACCCUUGGAUAAAACGGGGCAGUCAUUGAAGGGAAAUCCGGGCAUUGAACACUUCAUUUAGCAAGUUUAAAUUGAAGUGAAAAUUGCGGUUGGUCGGGAACCCAACACUGCUAGCAAACUUCGAAAAAAGUUGAAUGUUUAUAAGAAUACAACUUUCUUGUAAUAAUUUGUUUUUUCUCAGGCCCCAAAUUUGCUAUAUGAAGUGUAAAAGUACUACCAACCUGUAACGACAAAAGCAACAUCAACCAUCGAUUAUGGUAGGCAACCUCUCAAACCAGACUUUUAGCCAGGAUAGAAAGGAAAGCUGAAAUAGACGGCGUUUGUUAGUCGCCCGCUGGCUGUCAUGCGGUCUUUUUUAAGUGCUUUACGGUUUAUUUUCGGGACAAUUUCGGGACACGGUGGACGGAAUUUUCGGAGGGGUGUCAGCCACUUGAUAAUGACGAUGACAACGACUACGACAUUGGCAACUCUGUUGUCAUAGGCGACUGUAACUGCUGCCAAACACACAAACGUGGCCUCUUAUGUCCUGUGGCUCGAAAAACGUAGCAGCCCCUCGAGUGUUUCAAUUGAAUUUGAAACAAGUUUCGAAUUGUUCGCAUUGGCCAAAGAGCUCCCUAGUGCUAUUGACUUUGUGUAAUGCUGAUCAGAAAUCGAUGGUAUUAGUGUUGUGCCCGGAUUAUAUUCUGCCUAAAUGCUAAAUCCUUGGUAGUAAAGAAAUAGAGAGUAAAUAUAUAAAUAAAUAGUUUAAUCCUGCCUGUCUAGCAUUUAUUUUAUGGAGCAACAUAAGCCCUCAUGAACUCAACACCUCACACAAAGUUAGCAACAUGACAAAGGGCAUAAUGCACUUCUUAACAGUGGAUUAUACUUGGGGGAAUCUAUAGAAGACUAUAACCACAGCCAUAAACCACUUUUAUCAUGGCCCUGCACAAAGAUUCUCACUCCUCAGAUCGACCGUUCACCACCCGCCCAACAUUACUAGCCAUCCUUAUUUCGCCUGCCCGACUUACUUUGCCGAAUCUCCGUCUCUUCCCCUUUUGGCCAAGUGGGGCAGGAAACUCCUUUCUGCUUAUCUGUCGUCUCGCUCUGGCAAAAGGCAAUGCCAAAAUUUCAAACCAACCGGGCAAGUAAAUAUUUCCAGUUUUCGGCCACAAAUGCAAUUGGGCUUGAUGAUAUUUGUUGCUUCCGUUUUGGUUUGCAGUUGAGGAAAUGAAGCUUAUGCAGUUAUUUUCUGUGCUACACUGUUGUCUUAAAUUGGUAAAGGUAUUUAUUUAUUUCACAAAUAUUAGCCAAGAUAAAUAUUGGCCUUGCUUUAAGCUGACUAAUUUUUGGGCUGUGCUAUCUUUUCUGUUUAUGCUAAUACUUAAACGUAUAAUUUUCGCUAGAAAUUGCUAUUUUUUACGGUUUACAACGUUACUUUCAGCUGGCUUGGCCCAACACUCUAUUUUGUCAAUCACUAUCAGUUAGGCCAUAAGUUCCAAGUGUCGUAACCAGUUUUCUGCGGCCCCCUUCAGUCACCUGUCCCUACAUUGAUAUAAAUGUAUACAAGUGUGUGUGUGUGUGUGUGUGUGUGUGUGUGUGUGUGUGUGUGUGUGUGUGUGUGUGUGUGUGUGAGUGCGUGGGCUUUCAAACAUGUACAACCGAAUAAGGUUCUCCAUUUAUUUUAUGGCCAAGCUGCAUGCAAUGAAAAUUCCCAACAAUUUGGUAAGCCCACCACCAUUACACCACCAUUCCAUUCCGCAGACCUCGUCCAUAUGGUGUUGGCCACAUUCUCCGGAUUGGGUGGUUCAAUAUACCCACAUUUGUGCAUUCUCGGAUGUCUUAUCAGUGCCAGCCUUAGGCACAAGCCUCCGAACAUAGUUUAGUUUAAAAUUCCGGGGCGUAUUCCUCGUCCUCGAUGCGAAAUUCUCUGUGCCUGUGUACCAGGUCCUGCGUUCAAUGUCAGGCAGCUGUCCUGGUCCAAGUGGUAGUUUGUGCUUUGUGUGACAAGUCGACAUAUUUCUCUUGGUUUUUGGACCGGGCUUGUUGAUAUUGCACUUUGCCUUGCAUGCAAAAUGCUGCCUACAAGGAGUUGAAGCAGCUGCACACCAAAGGAGCAGGUCAAAAGCCAAACAGUUGCACUGCCGAAUGAACUUUUCUAAUUCCAUGAGCCAUGAGCAGCAGAGCAACCGGGAGGAGAGCCACUAACCUACCCCAACCUGCAGGACUAUCCACAGGACCAAUCAGGCUGGGAUCCUGUGGCUCGUUUCCAUUUGCCUGGCAGGGGAAAUUAUUCCGUCGUUAAUUAGUGCCUGAUAGAGACGAGCCCAUACAUUUGGCUUAUUUCUAGACCAUUUAGAGCCAGGCAUCAGUGCUCUGUCGUUUCGGAAACUUUUUCUUUUUCAUUUGCCCCAAAGUCAUACCAGGAACCGCCGUCACCAUCGCCAUCACCAUCACCGCCUUCAUCAUCAUCAUCAUCAUUGUCAUCGUCAUCGUAGUCGAUGUCCUUGUCAUCGACCGCCUUUAGUUUGCACUUGACCACAAAUUGCUUGGCUACCGUUUGCUUUUGCCUUCUAACUAAGCUUUUGUCGUUCGACUUCAACGUCCAUUCGCACAGAUACAAAUUUUGUUUAUCUUUUGCUGGCACUUGAGUUAAGUCGAGCUGAGUGCAAAGUUACGGCUGAUUGGAAGUGGAGAUGCGGAUCCGGAUGCGAAAACGAAUACGAAUACGAAUUCGAAUGCCAAGCUGAGUUCUGACAGCUGCGACAAUUAGGCUUCUAUCCUUCUGCCUUCGAGUCCUUUGUAAUUUGAAGUCCUGCAUUGAAUAACUCAAUUUGAGUUGAUUGUGACAUGUUUUCCGGCUUGCAAUGGAAGUGAAUACGAAAUUAUUUGAUUAUGAUUGAAUUUCGUAGUUUUAAUUAAAUAAAUUGGAGCAAAUCAUCGUUUACUUGCAUUUCAAUGUUAAUAAUACCGAAACGUAGCAACUUUCUAACCUAAUUGAAAACCAUCUUUUCAUAUUAAGCGCACAUAAAUAAUUUAUGCCUUUCCACCACAAAUCUAUUGCCAUUCAAAGACGCAUUUACUCCAAGUCACCCAGCAUAUGUAGAAACCACAAAAACUCCAUGCAUACGUACCGUAUCACUGUUUUGAUCAAUGUAUUUAAUAUUAAUGUGUUCUCGUGUGACUAAGACCAGAUGAAGAAAAACUACGGAAAUGAGAGAAUCGCAUUCGAGGAUGGAUGGGUCGUAGGGUGUAAUUCAUUCAAAAGAAGGCCAAAAGGCCGGGCCAGAAAAACUAAUUUGUAUGCGGAAGGCAGCGGGUGUCGCCAAACGGACGGACUUUCGUUCUGUUGGACGUUUUGUUUUGCUUUUCGCCAUGAACGCGGCCAAAAUGCGUAAUCUUUUUUGCUGGCCCAACGUGGCUUUGGUUUUCCUGAGUGUGGCUUUAUGCGAAAGUGCCAAAGCGCAGGUGACGACGAUGACGGCGACACUUUUUGCUGGAGAAGUGUGACAACAACGGAAGGCUGUCGCCACGGCCAAAAGACAUUAGUUAUCCAUAUGGGCGGGUGGAUGGUAGGUCAUGGAUAAGGGGCCCCCUAAGACCUAUUUAGAGUCCUUGGGCGUUGAAAAGCGUUAAGAUGCCAAUGUAUACCAAUGGAAUGCAAACGAAACAAUGUCGGAAUAUAGGAAUAUCAUGUUGCAUCAUGUUGUUUAAAUGCACUUUUCAGUUCAAAUUUGUAAAUUGAAUAAAUGGAAUGAAGUUGAUCAAGUAAUAUGUAAUCAAUAAACCAACUUAAAUGUAUGGAAAAAGGAACAAGCUUAUUAAUUUGAUGAUGUACCCAAAGGAUACUCCAUUCCUCAUUUUUCAUAGCAAUCAUCGCCGAACAAUUGCUCAAAUUAAAACAUUUUUAAUUAAGGCAAACAUAAAAAGCGUAACAAUUGUCGGGCAAACAAAUUAAGUCUAAGUUGGCGAACAAAACUCGCUGACGAUGCUCAUGAGAACGCAUGUGGGGGCCGAAGGGCGCGGCGGGGCUGGAUAAACAAAAGAAGAAAUGAUUAAAUAAAUAAACAGCAGCGGGAACGGUAACAACGUGGUAAUCAAAUCAUUUACAAAAUAAAAGCAAAUUGAGAAAAUUGCAUGAAUUGUGCUCCCGACAUUUACACAUCAGCAGCAGCAGAAAGCAGGGAAAAUUUUUGCGAUGAUUUUUACUUGUUAGUGGGAAAAGCAGCGCCAACAGCAAACUCGCACAUGCCACGCCCAUGUAAUGUACGCCCACGACUUGGGGCACAGCAUUUAUUGCGCCCAGAUGUAUGCUAUAUUAUU